CGAUAAGUUAUUUGCAAUAUGGCGGCACAGAGUAGAAUAUUGAUUACGUUUUAAGGGAGACAGGGGUUUUAGGCAGGAUUUGAUUCAUGAUGUGUGUGUAGAUAUUAAUGUUAGGGGACAAUGUGAGAGUGUACGUUUUAGUAGGAAAACGUAUUAUCUGACCCACACUCCGGAACAGAAGAGGGCGGUAAUGCACCAAUAAGCUGGAUGCCAACCGCCGUUAAACUGGAAAGAAGACGAAUAUGACAGCUUGCUGUGAGAGACAACUGGACAGAUGAGACACAUAUGUGUUUAUCUGCUGUAGGAUGAAGGAAUGCUACCAUCAAAGGAUUUGUAUCUUUUGUGGUGGAGCAGGACCUGCAAGGAAAGGUGAAAAAGAGGGAAAACCUGAAACAAAAGAAUAAUGUAAUGACUUUUUGUAUUGUGUAUUUUUGUAGGACAUGAACAUGUCUGUAGACUGGUGUGUGCACUGAGGAUGGAGAAGACCACAGCAUCAUCCUGGAAAUGAUCGAGAGUCACAGAUGAGACGCUCCAUCACUCCAGCUCUUACCGUCUCAUCAGGACCAGAUGCUGCUGUGGUGUCUUCAUCCUCAGUGACCCCAGAGCCAGUGAGAGCAUCUAGGGAAAGACCACAAGACACUGAGCAUGUGAUUUGGGUAGUCGUGCUCAUGGGGUGCAGGCACACGAAAGUUUGGAGCAGACACAGCAGUCAGAUUGUCCUGCACGUCUUCCCCUGCUCUAGCUUCAAGGUUGU